UGAGAACAAAUCUGAUUACAAGCUGAGGUUAGGGAUAUUCAGAAGAAAUCAUGGCUUGUGCGUCACACUUUUUCAUGUGCUGUAUGCAAACUUGUGGUUUUCCUCACUCAGAAGGCAAGAAGUUGUGUGCAUUUUGCCUACAUCCUCAGCAAUUUUCAGCAUCUAACUGAAUCAACAAAUUUGAAUUCCAGUUAACUAUGUGAAUCCUGUGUAGUUUAAAGGAAACAGGG
rnacentral:misc_RNA from 1 species